GACGAACGCUGGCGGCGUGCUUAACACAUGCAAGUCGAACGGAAAGGCCCUGCUUUUGUGGGGUGCUCGAGUGGCGAACGGGUGAGUAACACGUGAGUAACCUGCCCUUGACUUUGGGAUAACUUCAGGAAACUGGGGCUAAUACCGGAUAGGAGCUCCUGGUGCAUGGUGGGGGUUGGAAAGUUUCGGCGGUUGGGGAUGGACUCGCGGCUUAUCAGCUUGUUGGUGGGGUAGUGGCUUACCAAGGCUUUGACGGGUAGCCGGCCUGAGAGGGUGACCGGCCACAUUGGGACUGAGAUACGGCCCAGACUCCUACGGGAGGCAGCAGUGGGGAAUAUUGCACAAUGGGCGGAAGCCUGAUGCAGCAACGCCGCGUGCGGGAUGACGGCCUUCGGGUUGUAAACCGCUUUCGCCUGUGACGAAGCGCGAGUGACGGUAAUGGGUAAAGAAGCACCGGCUAACUACGUG
rnacentral:rRNA from 1 species